rnacentral:rRNA from 1 species
UUAAGUCCGUACGAGCGCAACCCUUGUCCUUAGUUUACCAGCACGUUAUGGUGGGCGACUCUAAGGAGACUGCCGGUGACAAACCGGAGGAAGGUGGGGAGUGACGUCAAGUCAUCAUGGCCCUUACGGCCUGGGCUACACACGUGCUACAAUGGUCGGUACAAAGGGUUGCCAAGCCGCGAGGUGGAGCUAAUCCCAUAAAACCGAUCGUAGUCCGGAUCGCAGUCUGCAACUCGACUGCGUGAAGUCGGAAUCGCUAGUAAUCGUGAAUCAGAAUGUCACGGUGAAUACGUUCCCGGGCCUU